rnacentral:rRNA from 1 species
UCGAACGCUGAAGCACUUUCGGGUGUGGAUGAGUGGCGAACGGGUGAGUAACACGUGGGUAAUCUGCCCUGCACUCUGGGAUAAGCCUUGGAAACGGGGUCUAAUACCGGAUAUGACAUGUCACCGCAUGGUGUGCGUGUGGAAAGUUCCGGCGGUGCAGGAUGAGCCCGCGGCCUAUCAGCUUGUUGGUGGGGUAGUGGCCUACCAAGGCGACGACGGGUAGCCGGCCUGAGAGGGUGACCGGCCACACUGGGACUGAGACACGGCCCAGACUCCUACGGGAGGCAGCAGUGGGGAAUCUUGCGCAAUGGGCGAAAGCCUGACGCAGCAACGCCGCGUGGGGGAUGACGGCCUUCGGGUUGUAAACCUCUUUCGACACCGACGAAGCCUUCGGGUGACGGUAGGUGUAGAAGAAGCACCGGCUAACUACGUGCCAGCAGCCGCGGUAAUACGUAGGGUGCGAGCGUUGUCCGGAUUUAUUGGGCGUAAAGAGCUCGUAGGCGGUUUGUCGCGUCGGCCGUGAAAACUCACAGCUUAACUGUGGGCGUGCGGUCGAUACGGGCAGACUUGAGUUCGGCAGGGGAGACUGGAAUUCCUGGUGUAGCGGUGAAAUGCGCAGAUAUCAGGAGGAACACCGGUGGCGAAGGCGGGUCUCUGGGCCGAUACUGACGCUGAGGAGCGAAAGCGUGGGGAGCGAACAGGAUUAGAUACCCUGGUAGUCCACGCCGUAAACGUUGGGCGCUAGGUGUGGGGACCGGUUCCACGGUUUCCGUGCCGUA